GUUCUAACGUGGGCCCCUAAUCGGGGUUGCGGACAGUGUCUGGUGGGUAGUUUGACUGGGGCGGUCUCCUCCCAAAGAGUAACGGAGGAGCACGAAGGUUAGCUAAUCCUGGUCGGACAUCAGGAGGUUAGUGCAAAGGCAUAAGCUAGCUUGACUGCGAGAGUGACGGCUCGAGCAGGUGCGAAAGCAGGUCUUAGUGAUCCGGUGGUUCUGAAUGGAAGGGCCAUCGCUCAACGGAUAAAAGGUACUCCGGGGAUAACAGGCUGAUACCGCCCAAGAGUUCAUAUCGACGGCGGUGUUUGGCACCUCGAUGUCGGCUCAUCACAUCCUGGGGCUGAAGUAGGUCCCAAGGGUAUGGCUGUUCGCCAUUUAAAGUGGUACGCGAGCUGGGUUUAGAACGUCGUGAGACAGUUCGGUCCCUAUCUGCCGUGGGCGCUGGAGAAUUGAGGGGGGCUGCUCCUAGUACGAGAGGACCGGAGUGGACGCAUCACUGGUGUUCGGGUUGUCAUGCCAAUGGCACUGCCCGGUAGCUAAAUGCGGAAAAGAUAAGUGCUGAAAGCAUCUAAGCACGAAACUUGCCCCGAGAUGAGUUCUCCCUGAGACUUUAAGUCUCCUGAAGGAACGUUGAAGACGACGACGUUGAUAGGUCGGGUGUGUAAGUGUAGCGAUACAUUGAGCUAACCGAUACUAAUGAACCGUGAGGCUUAACCUUACAACGCCGAAG
rnacentral:rRNA from 1 species